rnacentral:lncRNA from 1 species
CAGAUACCGUCACCAGUGGUCUGCCAAGUGAGACAGCUCUCCUCGCCGGGUUGGAACAGGAGCAUCACAGCUGUAGCUCCAGCAAUUUCUUGAACGGUGAUAUGAUUUUGGGAUCUGAAGCCUAUGUCAGAGCAAUAAGAGAAAUAGCACUUAGAUCCUAGGCAACUAUCACAUGACCCUACAGCACAUCUUCAGUAAAGGACCAGACCUGGAGAAGCUGACCUAGUUGCAGGUGCCUCCAGCCAGAAGAACAUGAAUUGCGGCCAGGCAUGAGGUGCCUGGAUUAAACCAUAC